AGAGUUUGAUCUGCUCAGAUGACGCUAGCGGGAGGCUAACACAUGCAAGUCGAGGGCAGCACGGACUUCGGUCUGGUGGCGACCGGCGCACGGGUGCGUAACGCGUAUGCAACUGCCUUACACAGGGGGAUAGCCCAUGGAAACGUGGAUUAAUACCCCAUAUGCCUAGAGAGUCGCAUGGCUUAAUAGGGAAAACUUCGGUGGUGUAAGAUGGGCAUGCGUGACAUUAGCUAGUUAGUGAGGUAACAGCUUACCAAGGCGACGAUGUCUAGGGGUUCUGAGAGGAUUAUCCCCCACACUGGUACUGAGACACGGACCAGACUCCUACGGGAGGCAGCAGUGAGGAAUAUUGGUCAAUGGGCGAGAGCCUGAACCAGCCAUCCCGCGUGCAGGAUGACGGCCCUAUGGGUUGUAAACUGCUUUUGUAUGCCAAGAAAUUUACUUACGAGUAGGUAAUUGACGGUAGCAUACGAAUAAGCACCGGCUAACUCCGUGCCAGCAGCCGCGGUAAUACGGAGGGUGCAAGCGUUAUCCGGAUUUAUUGGGUUUAAAGGGUGCGCAGGUGGGUUUGUAAGUCAGUGGUGAAAUUCUGCCGCUUAACGGUAGGACUGCCAUUGAUACUGCAGAUCUUGAGUAUGGUUGAGGUAAGUGGAAUGUGUAGUGUAGCGGUGAAAUGCAUAGAUAUUACACAGAACACCGAUUGCGAAGGCAGCUUACUAAGCCAUUACUGACGCUGAGGCACGAAAGCGUGGGUAGCGAACAGGAUUAGAUACCCUGGUAGUCCACGCCGUAAACGAUGUUCACUCGCUGCUAGCGAUACACAGUUAGUGGCCAAGCGAAAGCAUUAAGUGAACCACCUGGGGAGUACGCCCGCAAGGGUGAAACUCAAAGGAAUUGACGG
rnacentral:rRNA from 1 species